rnacentral:rRNA from 1 species
AGUGAACGCUGGCGGUAGGCCUAACACAUGCAAGUCGUACGGCAGCACAGUAAGAGCUUGCUCUUACGGGUGGCGAGUGGCGGACGGGUGAGGAAUACAUCGGAAUCUACUUUUUCGUGGGGGAUAACGUAGGGAAACUUACGCUAAUACCGCAUACGACCUACGGGUGAAAGCAGGGGAUCUUCGGACCUUGCGCGAUUGAAUGGGCCGAUGUCGGAUUAGCUAGUUGGCGGGGUAAAGGCCCACCAAGGCGACGAUCCGUAGCUGGUCUGAGAGGAUGAUCAGCCACACUGGAACUGAGACACGGUCCAGACUCCUACGGGAGGCAGCAGUGGGGAAUAUUGGACAAUGGGCGCAAGCCUGAUCCAGCCAUACCGCGUGGGUGAAGAAGGCCUUCGGGUUGUAAAGCCCUUUUGUUGGGAAAGAAAAGCAGCAGGUUAAUACCCCGCUGUUCUGACGGUACCCAAAGAAUAAGCACCGGCUAACUUCGUG